CAGUCGCCGCGGUAAUACGUAGGGUGCAAGCGUUAAUCGGAAUUACUGGGCGUAAAGCGUGCGCAGGCGGUUCGGAAAGAAAGAUGUGAAAUCCCAGGGCUCAACCUUGGAACUGCAUUUGUGACUGGCGAGCUAGAGUAUGGCAGAGGGGGGUAGAAUUCCACGUGUAGCAGUGAAAUGCGUAGAGAUGUGGAGGAAUACCGAUGGCGAAGGCAGCCCCCUGGGCCAAUACUGACGCUCAUGCACGAAAGCGUGGGGAGCAAACAGGAUUAGAUACCCCCGUAGUCCCUGUCUCUUAUAC
rnacentral:rRNA from 1 species